AACGCGAAGAACCUUACCAAGGCUUGACAUGAACCGGUAACGCCUGGAGACAGGUGCCCCGCUUGCGGUCGGUUUACAGGUGGUGCAUGGUUGUCGUCAGCUCGUGUCGUGAGAUGUUGGGUUAAGUCCCGCAACGAGCGCAACCCUUGUUCUGUGUUGCCAGCAUGCCCUUCGGGGUGAUGGGACUCACAGGAGACUGCCGGGGUCAACUCGGAGGAAGGUGGGGACGACGUCAAGUCAUCAUGCCCCUUAUGACCUGGGCUACACACGUGCUACAAUGGAUGGUACAAAGGGCAGCAAAACCGCGAGGUUGAGCCAAUCCCAUAAAGCCAUUCUCAGUUCGGAUCGUAGGCUGCAACUCGCCUACAUGAAGCCGGAAUUGCUAGUAAUCGCGGAUCAGCAUGCCGCGGUGAAUACGUUCCCGGGCCUUGUACACACCG
rnacentral:rRNA from 1 species